rnacentral:rRNA from 1 species
AUUCCUACGGGAGGCAGCAGUGGGGAAUAUUGGACAAUGGGCGAAAGCCUGAUCCAGCAAUGCCGCGUGAGUGAUGAAGGCCUUAGGGUUGUAAAGCUCUUUUACCAGGGAUGAUAAUGACAGUACCUGGAGAAUAAGCUCCGGCUAACUCCGUGCCAGCAGCCGCGGUAAUAAU